rnacentral:rRNA from 1 species
GACGAACGCUGGCGGCGUGCUUAACACAUGCAAGUCGAACGGAGAGGGCUGGUUUUUGUUGCGAAUUGCUGAGCCGCGAACGGGUGAGUAACGCGUGGGGCAUGUGCCUUUGAGCGGGAGACAACAUAUAAACACGAAUGAUUAUACCGCAUAAACACUUUAAACACAAGUUGGAAGUUUGAAAGAUGCAAUUGCAUCACUUAAAGGUGGUUCCGCGGUGUUUUGGUUAGUUGGUGAGGUAAAGGCUCACCUACGCGAUGGUACAGAGCCGACCGGCGCGGGUGGACGGCCACAUUGGGACUGGGACACGGCCCAAACUCCUACGGGAGGCAGCAGUAGGGAGUCGUGGGCAAUGGACGAAAGUCUGACCGAGCAACGCCGCGUGCGUGGAGAAGGAUGUCGGAUCGUGAAUCUCUGUUGGUAGAGAAGAACGCGGGUGAGAGUGGAAAGCACAGGUAGUGACGGUAACGGCACAAGAAGCACCGGCUAACUACGUG